rnacentral:misc_RNA from 1 species
GAUGAAGAACGUAGCGAAAUGCGAUAAGUAAUGUGAAUUGCAGAAUUCCGCGAAUCAUCGAAUCUUUGAACGCACAUUGCGCCCCCUGGUAUUCCGGGGGGCAUGCCUGUCCGAGCGUCAUUGCAACCUUCAAGCGCGGCUUGUGUGUUGGGUCUCGUCCCCCGUGGACGGGCCCGUAAGGCAGUGGCGGCGUCCCGACAUGGUGCCCGAGCGUAUGGGAAUCCUCUUCCGCUCGAAUCGGCCCAUGCGGCGCUGGUCGUAACCAAAUUUUUUACCGGUUGACCUCGGAUCAGGUAGGGAUACCCGCUGAACUUAAGCAUAUCAAUAAGCGGAGGA